UACGGAGGGCGCAAGCGUUAUCCGGAUUUACUGGGUUUAAAGGGCGCGCAGGCGGAUAUGUAAGUCAGUGGUGAAAUCUCCGGGCUUAACCCGGAAACUGCCGUUGAUACUAUAUAUCUUGAAUGCUGUGGAGGUAAGCAGAAUAUGUCAUGUAGCGGUGAAAUGCUUAGAGAUGACAUAGAAUACCUAUUGCGAAGGCAGCUUACUACGCAGAUAUUGACGCUCAUGCACGAAAGCGUGGGGAGCAAACAGG
rnacentral:rRNA from 1 species